rnacentral:rRNA from 1 species
AUUGAACGCUGGCGGCAGGCUUAACACAUGCAAGUCGAGCGAGCGGCGGACGGGUGAGUAAUGUCUGGGAAACUGCCUGAUGGAGGGGGAUAACUACUGGAAACGGUAGCUAAUACCGCAUACCAUCGGAUGUGCCCAGAUGGGCUUAAAUAGUAGGUGGGGUAAAGGCGCACCUAGGCGACGAUCCCUAGCUGGCCUGAGAGGAUGAACCGCCACACUGGGACUGAGACACGGUCCAGACUCCUACGGGAGGCAGCAGUGGGGAAUAUUGCACAAUGGGCGCAAGCCGGAUGCAGCCAUGCCGCGUGAGUGAAGAAGGCCUUCGGGUUGUAAAGCUCUUUCAGCGAAGAGGCGUUACUUGCAGAGGAAGCACCGGCUAACUCCGUGCCAGCAGCCGCGGUAAUAC